AUUGAACGCUGGCGGCAUGCUUUACACAUGCAAGUCGAACGGUAACAGGGUGCUUGCACCGCUGACGAGUGGCGAACGGGUGAGUAAUGCGUCGGAACGUGCCGAGUAGUGGGGGAUAACGCAGCGAAAGUUGUGCUAAUACCGCAUACGUACUGAGGUAGAAAGUGGGGGACCUUCGGGCCUCACGCUAUUCGAGCGGCCGACGUCUGAUUAGCUAGUAGGUGAGGUAAAGGCUCACCUAGGCUACGAUCAGUAGCGGGUCUGAGAGGAUGAUCCGCCACACUGGGACUGAGACACGGCCCAGACUCCUACGGGAGGCAGCAGUGGGGAAUUUUGGACAAUGGGCGAAAGCCUGAUCCAGCCAUGCCGCGUGUCUGAAGAAGGCCUUCGGGUUGUAAAGGACUUUUGUCAGGGAGGAAAUCCCUAGUGCUAAUAACACUGGGGGAUGACAGUACCUGAAGAAUAAGCACCGGCUAACUACGUGCCAGCCGCCGCAGUAA
rnacentral:rRNA from 1 species